GGAUGAACUGCGAGCUGCUGGCCUGACUUGGAGUCUGAGUUACAGGUGUUUUCCUGGCUUCGGACACUGGAGUCUUCCUCAUCUCCGUCUGGGAUUUCACCUGAACUGCCACAUUCUGCUUUCCUGCUUCCUGUAUCUUAUCCACGCUGCAUUUCUUUGUUUCAUUCUUUCUUUUGUUGUUAUCCUUCUUUCCAUCAUUCUUAUUGGCUACUAUUCCUUUGCUAUAGUCCCGUCUUUCCCUACCCACAUCUUUAGGAGGAUAGAUUCGCCCUUGCUCUCUGUUCAUUUCCCGUGGCUUAAUAUUUUCUUUAAACGUGACCAUUGGUUUCUC
rnacentral:lncRNA from 1 species